CCUACGGGAGGCAGCAGUGAGGAAUAUUGGUCAAUGGGCGGGAGCCUGAACCAGCCAAGUCGCGUGAGGGAAGACGGUCCUAUGGAUUGUAAACCUCUUUAGGCGGGGAGCAAUGCCGGGCACGUGUGCCCGGAGGGAGAGUACCCGCAGAAUAAGCAUCGGCUAACUCCGUGCCAGCAGCCGCGGUAAUACGGAGGAUGCGAGCGUUAUCCGGAUUGAUUGGGUUUAAAGGGUGCGUAGGCGGCUUUUUAAGUCAGCGGUAAAAUGUCCGGGCUCAACCCGGGCCGGCCGUUGAAACUGGGGAUCUUGAGUGGGCGAGAAGUAUGCGGAAUGCGUGGUGUAGCGGUGAAAUGCAUAGAGAUCACGCAGAACUCCGAUGGCGAAGGCAGCAUACCGGCGCCCGACUGACGCUGAGGCACGAAAGCGUGGGGAUCGAACAGGAUUAGAUACCCCAGUAGUC
rnacentral:rRNA from 1 species